rnacentral:rRNA from 1 species
UACGUAGGGACCAAGCGUUGUUCGGAUUUACUGGGCGUAAAGGGCGCGUAGGCGGCUUAACAAGUCACUUGUGAAAUCUCCGGGCUUAACUCGGAACGGCCAAGUGAAACUGUCAAGCUAGAGUGCAGAAGGGGCAAUCGGAAUUCUCGGUGUAGCGGUGAAAUUCGUAGAUAUUCGCAAGAACACCAGUGGCGAAGGCAGGUCUCUGGGCCACUACUGACGCUGAGAAGCGAAAGCAUGGGGAGCGAACAGG